CUACAAUAACCCAAUUACAAUAUUCCAAUACAUUAGUAAAGUACACCUAAUACAUUUAUGUGAGGCAAGCUGUAAGUCUGGCUUGCUAGAAGGGAGAGUAGAUAUGAUAUACUUAGUACAUCAGGAGUCCUGGUUAGUGAUAUCAGGGUCCAGGAAUAACAAUAUAAGUUACCCAAGUUGAAAUCCCUUCCCACACUAGUCUUAGAUGCUAAAUGUUGCAGCCGU